rnacentral:rRNA from 1 species
AGGUUGGCUUAGAAGCAGCCAUCCUUUAAAGAGUGCGUAAUAGCUCACUAGUCGAAUGACACUGCGCCGAAAAUGUACCGGGGCUAAACAUGAAACCGAAGCUGUGGAUUUUAUAGAUAAUAUAAAAUGGUAGGGGAGCGUUCUAAUUGCGACGAAGAUGGAUCGUGAGGACUGUUGGAGCGAUUAGAAGUGAGAAUGCCGGUGUGAGUAGCGCAAGAAGGGUGAGAAUCCCUUCCACCGUUUGCCUAAGGGUUCCUGGGGAAGGUUCGUCCUCCCAGGGUAAGUCGGGUCCUAAGACGAGGCCGAAAGGCGUAGCCGAUGGACAACAGGUUGAUAUUCCUGUACCACCUAUAUAACUGAUGGAGUGACGAAGGAGGCUAUAGAAAGCCAGUUAAUGGAUUCUGGUCUAAGCACAUAGGCGUACAUAUAGGCAAAUCCGUAUGUAAUGUAGCUGAAGUGUUAUGGUGAAGGUAAUAGCGAUAUUACUGAAAUUUCUAGACGCCAAACUUCCAAGAAAAGCUUCUAGGGUUAAUUAUAUAGGUGCCCGUACCCAGAACCGACACAGGUAGGCAAGGAGAGUAUCCUAAGGUGAGCGAGAGAACUAUGGUUAAGGAACUCGGCAAAAUGACCCCGUAACUUCGGGAGAAGGGGUGGUCUAGCGAUAGACCCGCAGUAAAGAGUCCCAGGCAACUGUUUACCAAAAACACAGCUCUCUGCUAAAUCGAAAGAUGAUGUAUAGGGGGUGACACUUGCCCAGUGCUGGAAGGUUAAGAGGAGAGGUUAGUAAUGACUUCGGUUAUAUUUACGAAGCUUCGAAUUGAAGCCCCAGUGAACGGCGGCCGUAACUAUAACGGUCCUAAGGUAGCGAAAUUCCUUGUCAGGUAAGUUCUGACCCGCACGAAAGGUGUAAUGAUCUGGGCACUGUCUCAACCAUAGACUCGGUGAAAUCUUAAUACCUGUGAAAAUGCAGGUUACCCGCGACAGGACGGAAAGACCCCAUGGAGCUUUACUGUAGCUUGAUAUUGGAUCUCGAUGUGUUAUGUAGAGGAUAGGUGGGAGACUAUGAUGUUAGGACGCUAGUUCUAACGGAGUCAACCUUGGAAUACCACCCUUAGCAUGUUGAGAUUCUAACCUCGACCCAUUAUCUGGGUCAGGGACAGUGUCUGGUGGGCAGUUUGACUGGGGCGGUCGCCUCCCAAAAAGUAACGGAGGCGCUCAAAGGUUCCCUCAGAAUGGUUGGAAAUCAUUCGAAGAGCGUAAUGGUAUAAGGGAGCUUUACUGCGAGACCUACAAGUCAAGCAGUUACGAAAGUAGGACAUAGUGGGCCGGCGAUUCAGAAUGGAAUGGUCGUCGCUUAACGGAUAAAAGUUACCCUGGGGAUAACAGGCUGAUACCACCCAAUAGUUCACAUAGACGGUGGUGUUUGGCACCUCGAUGUCGGCUCGUCACAUCCUGGAGGUGAAGUCGCUUCCAAGGGUUGGGCUGUUCGCCCAUUAAAGUGGCACGCGAGCUGGGUUCAGAACGUCGUGAGACAGUUCGGUCCCUAUCCGUCGUGGGCGCAGGAAAAUUGAGAAGAGCUAUCCUUAGUACGAGAGGACCGGGAUGGACAUACCUCUGGUGUAUCUGUUGUAACGCCAGUUGCAGUGCAGAGUAGCUAUGUAUGGAAUCGAUAACCGCUGAAAGCAUCUAAGCGGGAAGCGAACUUCAAGAUGAAUUUUCCCAUAUUUUUAUAAUAGUAAGAUCCCUGAAAGACUAUCAGGUUGAUAGGCUGGAGAUGGAAGUGUAGUGAUACAUUGAGUUGACCAGUACUAAUAGAUCGAGGAUUUAACCAU